rnacentral:rRNA from 1 species
GCUCAGGACGAACGCUGGCGGCGUGCUUAACACAUGCAAGUCGAACGAUGAAGCCCUUCGGGGUGGAUUAGUGGCGAACGGGUGAGUAACACGUGGGCAAUCUGCCCUGCACUCUGGGACAAGCCCUGGAAACGGGGUCUAAUACCGGAUAUGACUGUCCACCGCAUGGUGGAUGGUGUAAAGCUCCGGCGGUGCAGGAUGAGCCCGCGGCCUAUCAGCUUGUUGGUGAGGUAGUGGCUCACCAAGGCGACGACGGGUAGCCGGCCUGAGAGGGCGACCGGCCACACUGGGACUGAGACACGGCCCAGACUCCUACGGGAGGCAGCAGUGGGGAAUAUUGCACAAUGGGCGAAAGCCUGAUGCAGCGACGCCGCGUGAGGGAUGACGGCCUUCGGGUUGUAAACCUCUUUCAGCAGGGAAGAAGCGAAAGUGACGGUACCUGCAGAAGAAGCGCCGGCUAACUACGUGCCAGCAGCCGCGGUAAUACGUAGGGCGCAAGCGUUGUCCGGAAUUAUUGGGCGUAAAGAGCUCGUAGGCGGCUUGUCACGUCGGUUGUGAAAGCCCGGGGCUUAACCCCGGGUCUGCAGUCGAUACGGGCAGGCUAGAGUUCGGUAGGGGAGAUCGGAAUUCCUGGUGUAGCGGUGAAAUGCGCAGAUAUCAGGAGGAACACCGGUGGCGAAGGCGGAUCUCUGGGCCGAUACUGACGCUGAGGAGCGAAAGCGUGGGGAGCGAACAGGAUUAGAUACCCUGGUAGUCCACGCCGUAAACGGUGGGCACUA